GAUGAACGCUGGCGGCGUGCCUAAUACAUGCAAGUCGAGCGAAUGGAUUAAGAGCUUGCUCUUAUGAAGUUAGCGGCGGACGGGUGAGUAACACGUGGGUAACCUGUCCAUAAGACUGGGAUAACUCCGGGAAACCGGGGCUAAUACCGGAUAACAUUUUGAAUCGCAUGGUUCGAAAUUGAAAGGCGGCUUCGGCUGUCACUUAUGGAUGGACCCGCGUCGCAUUAGCUAGUUGGUGAGGUAACGGCUCACCAAGGCAACGAUGCGGGGCCGACCGGAGAGGGUGAUCGGCCACACUCGGACUGAGACACGGCCCAGACUCCUACGGGAGGCAGCAGUAGGGAAUCUUCCGCAAUGGACGAAAGUCUGACGGAGCAACGCCGCGUGAGUGAUGAAGGCUUUCGGGUCGUAAAACUCUGUUGUUAGGGAAGAACAAGUGCUAGUUGAAUAAGCUGGCACCUUGACGGUACCUAACCAGAAAGCCACGGCUAACUACGUGCCAGCCGCCGCCGUAA
rnacentral:rRNA from 1 species